GGGUUGAUAGCUCAAUGGUAGAGCAGCGCCCUUUUAAGGCGUUGGUUCUGGGUUCGAGUCCCAGUCAACCCA
rnacentral:tRNA from 1 species